GAUGAACGCUGGCGGCGUGCUUAACACAUGCAAGUCGAACGGGAAAUAUUUCAUUGAGACUUCGGUGGAUUUGAUUUAUUUCUAGUGGCGGACGGGUGAGUAACGCGUGGGUAACCUGCCUUAUACAGGGGGAUAACAGUCAGAAAUGGCUGCUAAUACCGCAUAAGCGCACAGAGCUGCAUGGCUCAGUGUGAAAAACUCCGGUGGUAUAAGAUGGACCCGCGUUGGAUUAGCUAGUUGGUGGGGUAACGGCCCACCAAGGCGACGAUCCAUAGCCGGCCUGAGAGGGUGAACGGCCACAUUGGGACUGAGACACGGCCCAGAAUCCUACGGGAGGCAGCAGUGGGGAAUAUUGCACAAUGGGGGAAACCCUGAUGCAGCGACGCCGCGUGAAGGAAGAAGUAUCUCGGUAUGUAAACUUCUAUCAGCAGGGAAGAUAGUGACGGUACCUGACUAAGAAGCCCCGGCUAACUACGUG
rnacentral:rRNA from 1 species